CCUACGGGGGGCAGCAGUCGAGAAUCAUUCACAAUGGGGGAAACCCUGAUGGUGCGACGCCGCGUGGGGGAAUGAAGGUCUUCGGAUUGUAAACCCCUGUCAUGUGGGAGCAAAUUAAAAAGAUAGUACCACAAGAGGAAGAGACGGCUAACUCUGUGCCAGCAGCCGCGGUAAUACAGAGGUCUCAAGCGUUGUUCGGAAUCACUGGGCGUAAAGCGUGCGUAGGCUGUUUCGUAAGUCGUGUGUGAAAGGCCCGGGCUCAACCCGCGGACGGCACAUGAUACUGCGAGACUAGAGUAAUGGAGGGGGAACCGGAAUUCUCGGUGUAGCAGUGAAAUGCGUAGAUAUCGAGAGGAACACUCGUGGCGAAGGCGGGUUCCUGGACAUUAACUGACGCUGAGGCACGAAGGCCAGGGGAGCGAAAGGGAUUAGAUACCCUUGUAGUC
rnacentral:rRNA from 1 species